rnacentral:lncRNA from 1 species
ACGCCAUCUCCAUUCACUGACGUACUACAGUAAUACGCCAUCACACCCCUAGGUUGUGACUGGGUCCUCCGGGCAACACAUUAUAGAUCUAGGUUGAAGUUCCAGACAUGGAAGACAGAUUUUUCUUGUGUUUUAUUGAUUCUGGAUGCAAGAUUUUCAGUCACCUUUCUAUGUAGAAACUCCAAAUCGUCAUCGUCUUGUUUUUGAAUGAGCUCUCAGCUUCUCAUCUCCGUCCACGCCGAUAUGUUCA